rnacentral:rRNA from 1 species
CUGGCUCAGGAUGAACGCUAGCUACAGGCUUAACACAUGCAAGUCGAGGGGCAGCAUUAUCGAAGCUUGCUUUGAUAGAUGGCGACCGGCGCACGGGUGAGUAACGCGUAUCCAACCUUCCCCAUAGUCAGGAAUAGCCCGGCGAAAGUCGAAUUAAUGCCUGAUGUUUUCCACGGACGGCAUCUGAUGUGGAACAAAGAUUCAUCGCUAUGGGAUGGGGAUGCGUCUGAUUAGCUUGUUGGCGGGGUAACGGCCCACCAAGGCAACGAUCAGUAGGGGUUCUGAGAGGAAGGUCCCCCACAUUGGAACUGAGACACGGUCCAAACUCCUACGGGAGGCAGCAGUGAGGAAUAUUGGUCAAUGGGCGGAAGCCUGAACCAGCCAAGUAGCGUGAGGGAUGACUGCCCUAUGGGUUGUAAACCUCUUUUAUAAGGGAAUAAAAUACGGGACGUGUCCUGUUUUGCAUGUACCUUAUGAAUAAGGACCGGCUAAUUCCGUGCCAGCAGCCGCGGUAAUACGGAAGGUCCGGGCGUUAUCCGGAUUUAUUGGGUUUAAAGGGAGCGCAGGCGGUCUUAUAAGCGUGACGUGAAAUGCAGCGGCUCAACCGUAUGAUGUGCGUCGCGAACUGUGAGACUUGAGUGUAUUCGAUGUCAGCGGAAUUUGUGGUGUAGCGGUGAAAUGCUUAGAUAUCACGAAGAACUCCGAUUGCGAAGGCAGCUGACAAGGCUACAACUGACGCUAAAGCUCGAAAGUGCGGGUAUCGAACAGGAUUAGAUACCCUGGUAGUCCGCACGGUAAACGAUGGAUGCCCGGUGUUUGCGAUAUACAGUGAGCGCCCAAGCGAAAGCGUUAAGCAUCCCACCUGGGGAGUACGCCGGCAACGGUGAAACUCAAAGGAAUUGACGGGGGCCCGCACAAGCGGAGGAACAUGUGGUUUAAUUCGAUGAUACGCGAGGAACCUUACCCGGGCUUGAACUGUAGGCGAACGAUCCAGAGAUGGUGAGGCCCUUCGGGGCGCCUAUGGAGGUGCUGCAUGGUUGUCGUCAGCUCGUGCCGUGAGGUGUCGGCUUAAGUGCCAUAACGAGCGCAACCCCCAUCUCCAGUUGCCACCGGGUCGUGCCGGGCACUCUGGAGGGACUGCCAGCGCAAGCUGCGAGGAAGGCGGGGAUGACGUCAAAUCAGCACGGCCCUUACGUCCGGGGCGACACACGUGUUACAAUGGCGGAGAACAGAGGGGAGCCACGUGGCGACACGGAGCCGAUCCCUAAAAUCCGUCUCAGUUCGGAUUGGAGUCUGCAACCCGACUCCAUGAAGCUGGAUUCGCUAGUAAUCGCGCAUCAGCCAUGGCGCGGUGAAUACGUUCCCGGGCCUUGCACACACCGCCCGU